UUCCUACGGGGGGCAGCAGUGAGGAAUAUUGGUCAAUGGGCUUACGCCUGAACCAGCCAAGUCGCGUGAGGGAAGACUGCCCUAUGGGUUGUAAACCUCUUUUGUCAGGGAGCAAUUGGCGCUACGUGUAGCGUUAUCGAGAGUACCUGAAGAAAAAGCAUCGGCUAACUCCGUGCCAGCAGCCGCGGUAAUACGGAGGAUGCGAGCGUUAUCCGGAUUUAUUGGGCGUAAAGCGAGUGCAGGCGGUUCAAUAAGUCUGAUGUGAAAGCCUUCGGCUCAACCGGAGAAUU
rnacentral:rRNA from 1 species